rnacentral:tRNA from 1 species
CCCCGCAGGCGACCGCAGAGGACUUAAAAUCCUCCCAGUGUGGGUUCGACCCCCACUCGGGGCACCA